UUCCGGUUGAUCCUGCCGGACCUGACUGCUAUCGGAUUGAUACUAAGCCAUGCGAGUCAUUGUAGUAAUACAAGGCAGACGGCUCAGUAACGCGUAGUCAACCUACCCUAUGGACGGGAAUAACCUCGGGAAACUGAGUAUAAUGCCCGAUAGAACAUUAUACCUGGAAUGGUUUAUGUUCCAAAUGAUUUAUCGCCAUAGGAUGGGACUGCGGCCUAUCAGUUUGUUGGUGAGGUAAUGGCCCACCAAGACUAUUACAGGUACGGGCUCUGAGAGGAGUGGCCCGGAGAUGGGUACUGAGACACGGACCCAGGCCCUAUGGGGCGCAGCAGGCGAGAAAACUUUGCAAUGUGCGAAAGCACGACAAGGUUAAUCCGAGUGGUUUCUGCUAAAGGAACCUUUUGUCAGUCCUAGAAACACUGGUGAAUAAGGGGUGGGCAAGUUCUGGUGUCAGCCGCCGCGGUAAAACCAGCACCUCAAGUGGUCAGGAUGAUUAUUGGGCCUAAAGCAUCCGUAGCCUGCUUUGUUAGUUUUCGGUUAAAUCCAUACGCUCAACGUAUGGGCUGCCGGGAAUACUGCAAAGCUAGGGAGUGGGAGAGGUAGACGGUACUCGGUAGGAAGGGGUAAAAUCCUUUGAUCUAUUGAUGACCACCUGUGGCGAAGGCGGUCUACCAGAACACGUCCGACGGUGAGGGAUGAAAGCUGGGGGAGCAAACCGGAUUAGAUACCCGGGUAGUCCCAGCUGUAAACUAUGCAAACUCAGUGAUGCAUUGGCUUGUGGCCAAUGCAGUGCUGCAGGAAGCCGUUAAGUUUGCCGCCUGGGAAGUACGUACGCAAGUAUGAAACUUAAAGGAAUUGGCGGGGGAGCACCACAAGGGUGAAGCCUGCGGUUCAAUUGGAUUCAACGCCGGGA
rnacentral:rRNA from 1 species